AUUGAACGCAGGCGGCAGGCUUAACACAUGCAAGUCGAGCGGGGGAAGGUAGCUUGCUACCGGACCUAGCGGCGGACGGGUGAGUAAUGCUUAGGAAUCUGCCUAUUAGUGGGGGACAACAUCUCGAAAGGGAUGCUAAUACCGCAUACGUCCUACGGGAGAAAGCAGGGGAUCUUCGGACCUUGCGCUAAUAGAUGAGCCUAAGUCGGAUUAGCUAGUUGGUGGGGUAAAGGCCUACCAAGGCGACGAUCUGUAGCGGGUCUGAGAGGAUGAUCCGCCACACUGGGACUGAGACACGGCCCAGACUCCUACGGGAGGCAGCAGUGGGGAAUAUUGGACAAUGGGGGGAACCCUGAUCCAGCCAUGCCGCGUGUGUGAAGAAGGCCUUAUGGUUGUAAAGCACUUUAAGCGAGGAGGAGGCUACUCUAGUUAAUACCUAGGGAUAGUGGACGUUACUCGCAGAAUAAGCACCGGCUAACACUGUGCCAGCCGCCGCAGUAA
rnacentral:rRNA from 1 species